GACGAAGGAUGCGAGCGUUAUCCGGAUUCACUGGGUUUAAAGGGUGCGUAGGCGGUUUAGUAAGUUUCAAGUUAAAGACUGGUGCUUAACAUCGGGACUGCUUGAAAAACUGCUAGACUUGAGAUAGGUCGGCGUUGCUGGAAUAUGGCAAGUAGAGGUGAAAUUCAUAGAUAUGCCAUAGAACACCGAUAGCGAAGGCAGGCGACGAGGCCUUAUCUGACGCUGAGGCACGAAAGCGUGGGGAUCAAACAGG
rnacentral:rRNA from 1 species